rnacentral:rRNA from 1 species
CUGUCGGUGGCGUUCGGGAGCCUCGUCUAGGCGUCGGCCCUUGCCCCAAAGCUUGGUGCUCGGAGGCCGGGGGUAUACCCGUUCGCCUACUCUAUCCUACCUAGGUGCUCUUUACCGAGUGUCGAGGUAGGCCGACACGUUUACUUUGAACAAAUUAGAGUGCUCAAAGCAGGCUGAAAUCUCUGCCUGAAUAGUGGUGCAUGGAAUAAUAAAACAGGACCUUGGUUCUAUUUUGUUGGUUCUUAGGAACACAAGGUAAUGAUCAAUACGGACAGGCGGGGGCAUUCGUAUUGCGACGUUAGAGGUGAAAUUCUUGGAUCGUCGCAAGACGCACAAGAGCGAAAGCAUUUGCCAAGUAUGUCUUGAUUGAUCAAGAACGAAAGUUAGAGGUUCGAAGGCGAUCAGAUACCGCCCUAGUUCUAACCAUAAACGAUGCCAGCCAGCGAUCCGCCGAUGUUCCUCCGAUGACUCGGCGGGGAGCUUCUUCGGAAACCAAAGCUUUUGGGUUCCGGGGGAAGUAUGGUUGCAAAGCUGAAACUUAAAGGAAUUGACGGAAGGGCACCACCAGGAGUGGAGCCUGCGGCUUAAUUUGACUCAACACGGGAAACCUCACCAGGCCAGGACAUUGGAAGGAUUGACAGAUUGAUAGCUCUUUCUUGAUUCAGUGGGUAGUGGUGCAUGGCCGUUCUUAGUUGGUGGAUCGAUUUGUCUGGUUAAUUCCGAUAACGAACGAGACUCUAGCCUAUUAACUAGGCGUUUUCCGGUGUCCCCGCCACCGGCGACAAUCAUUCUUCUUAAGGGGACAGGCGGCUUUUAGCCGCACGAGAUUGAGCAAUAACAGGUCUGUGAUGCCCUUAGAUGUCCUGGGCCGCACGCGCGCUACACUGAAGGAAUCAGCGUGUGCCUCCCUGGCCGAAAGGCCCGGGUAAUCCGCUGAACCUCCUGCGUGCUAGGAAUUGGGGCUUGCAAUUGUUCCCCAUGAACGAGGAAUUCCCAGUAAGCGCGAGUCAUAAGCUCGCGUUGAUUACGUCCCUGCCCUUUGUACACACCGCCCGUCGCUACUACCGAUUGAAUGAUUUAGUGAGGUCUUCGGACUGGCGGUAAUCCCUACCGACUCGUCGGUAUCGAUGAACGCUGGGAAGAUGACCAAACUUGAUCAUUUAGAGGAAGUAAAAGUCGUAAC